rnacentral:misc_RNA from 1 species
UUUCCGUAGGUGAACCUGCGGAAGGAUCAUUACCGAGUGAGGUUCUCUCACGCCCGACCUCCCACCCUGUGUUUUUUUUACAUUGUUGCUUUAGCUUGCCCGCCUCGAUGAGCGGCCGCCGGAAGUUUACCGCUUUGGGCCUUGUCUGAACAGUAUCCCCCUUAAAUUCUUAAUAAAACUGUUUUCUGCGAUAAUGGACAUAAUUAAAACAAACUUUCAGCACCGAAUCUCUUGGUUCUGGCAUCGUUGAAGAACGCAGCACAUCGGCACAGCACACGU